rnacentral:rRNA from 1 species
AUUGAACGCUGGCGGCAUGCCUAACACAUGCAAGUCGAACGGUAACGCGGAGAGCUUGCUCUCUGGCGACGAGUGGCGGACGGGUGAGUAAUACUUGGGAAUCUGCCCAGUAGUGGGGGACAACAUUCGGAAACGGAUGCUAAUACCGCAUACGCACUACGGUGGAAAGUGGGGGAUCUUCGGACCUCACGCUAUUGGAUGAGCCCAAGUCGGAUUAGCUUGUAGGUAGGGUAACGGCCUACCUAGGCGACGAUCCGUAGCUGGUCUGAGAGGACGAUCAGCCACACUGGGACUGAGACACGGCCCAGACUCCUACGGGAGGCAGCAGUGGGGAAUAUUGGACAAUGGGCGCAAGCCUGAUCCAGCAAUGCCGCGUGUGUGAAGAAGGCCUGCGGGUUGUAAAGCACUUUCAGUAGAGAAGAAAAGCCUAGGGUUAAUACCCCUGAGUCUUGACGUAACCUACAGAAGAAGCACCGGCUAACUCCGUG